rnacentral:ncRNA from 2 species
AGAUUUCUUCGAGGCAGGGUGAAAUUCCCGACCGACGGUGACAACCGAGUGUACCUCUCAGGUUGAAGUCCGUAACCCGCGUUUUAGCGGUGGACCCAGUGCAAGUCUGGGACCGACAGUAAUAGUCUGGAUGGGAGAAGAAAAAU